rnacentral:misc_RNA from 1 species
GAUGAAAAACGUAGCGAAAUGCGAUAAGUAAUGUGAAUUGCAGAAUUCAGUGAAUCAUCGAAUCUUUGAACGCACAUUGCGCCCGCCAGUAUUCUGGCGGGCAUGCCUGUUCGAGCGUCAUUACAACCCUCAGGCCCCCGGGCCUGGCGUUGGGGAUCGGCGGAAGCCCCCUGCGGGCACAACGCCGUCCCCCAAAUACAGUGGCGGUCCCGCCGCAGCUUCCAUUGCGUAGUAGCUAACACCUCGCAACUGGAGAGCGGCGCGGCCACGCCGUAAAACACCCAACUUCUGAAUGUUGACCUCGAAUCAGGUAGGAAUACCCGCUGAACUUAAGCAUAUCAAUAAGCGGAGGA